CACUUGCUAACAUUUGAAAUAUAAUGACUUAAUUAUAUUUCUCUUAAUUUAUAAGUAAUAACUUUUUUAAACUGCUAUAUAGUAAACUAUAUGCCUGAUUUUUUCGUGCUCCGUCAGUGUAAAAUCCUGAUCUGAAGCCCAGGUCUCCCAGUCCCACAGUUAAACGCUUCACCUGUUCGCGCAAGGCGUGUGCUUGGCUUGUCUUGCCAUGGCCAUAACUCUGCGACCUGCCCCCUGCACUGCCACCACUCCGCUCCUUGACUUUCGCAGCCCCUGCGAGGGGAGAGAUGGGGGGAGGGGUUAGUUAUUAAGGCGGCCAAGAGCCAGGUUGCUAGUCUGGCCAAGACGCGCGUGCUUCCUUGCCUGACUGCCGCUUGAAAACUCGUUUCGAUUAUGAAAAUUCCAAGCAUUAAUAACUCUGUUGCUCUGUUGGCCGCGCUGCGACUUCGAAUAUCCCAAACAACUUGGUCUCUUGACUCGACUUGGGACUCCUCGAUGGCGGCAAACAUGCUACAGAAUUCUGCGCUAUAAAUAACAGGCGAAAUGGUACAAAAGGAAAACAAUUUGGCCGAAAUGCACACAGUGCUGGCCAACACAGUAGCUGGCUGGAGUAAAUGAACAGAAAUUUGUUUAAUUUCUCUCUUUAUUUGCUCGCUAUAUUUUCCAUUUUGUUAAAAUACACUUACGACGGGCUCUGUAUUUGUUAAAAGUCAGCGGGUUCAAAAGUCUGCUGUUGCCAACAACAAAUGGCAUGCUAAUAAUUACAACAACUGCUUGAGCGACUACUACUUAAUGGUUACACUAGACAGCAAAGUUAGACUUUUUUCAAAAUAAUUUAAUUUAAUUUCUGUUAAUUUACUUUGAUAUUUUAAUGGUACAAUCUAGAUUUUAUAGGCAAUGUUUUUCAAUUUGAUCAAUACAAAGUGUUUUCAAUGCCAACUUUCUGGCUGACCAGUGUUACCACCAACCUGUUGCUUAGAUGUUCUUCCACAUUCGAGUUAAGGUUCAUUGCAAUUUCUAUGCAAAUUUAUAUAAUUUUGUACGUGUUAAACGAAUACGUACAUAGCCGCACUUGAUGCAGCUUUACAAAAGUCGUUUGGCAUAUGUGUACAAUGUACAUACAUGUGUAUAUAUGUAUAUAUCCAGAUGCUAUAUCGCCAUAUAGUGAGGGGCGUAGAGUUCACUUAUAAAGCAGUUGUCCAUGCAUAUUCAUGACCAUGAUGGGACCAGCCUCCAGAUCAUUAUUCCCGCAGUUAAUUGCUCAGUGAGCUGGCCAGCGAAUCGGGAAAAGUAGGGGACACAUUUCGUCGGAGUGCACGUAGCCAUCAGCUUGUGUCAGGCCAAGAUAAUAAUUGGUUUAACCACGUUAAGGCUAAUUACUCCAUUGGUUUGUGAGAUACACUGAGCUGGGGGCUGAGCGGAGAAAACGAGCUGAAAAAGUGAACUUUAUUUUUUAAUUACCAGACCGAACGGACGGGGCCGAUUAGCCCCGCCAGGUGGCGCUUGUUUGGCCCCAAUCCAUAAAUAUAUCCACAACUAUUGGAUAACGCGAAUGCAAAUUGCUAGCCGGGUUAUUAAUGCUCGACUCUGUAAAAAAUAUGUUUUUUCCACAAUAAUGGAAUUUGUAGCUUGAACUCUAUGACUGCUCGUAAUAGGAUUAGUGCAUUUCAAAAGAAUUUUACAACCUAGUUAUUUGGUAUUUUUAAGACGUUCUAUGCGUUUGAUCCCAACUUUAUUUUAGAUGUCGCAAGUCACAUUGCAACUAUUCUGGAGUUAAAGUUGCCCAGAGUUUCCUGCCAGACUUGAAAGCCCAGUGGCCCUGGGAACAAUGCUAAUUUGAUGCACCCCAACGAUGCUGAAUCAGCCAACCGAUGAACAUGCCCCUUUCAGUUACCACACAGUAAAGUAUAUCUCAAGUUUAUGGGUUCUUUUUAAAAUAACUUUUUAUUAUAUACUGAAUCUGAAAUAUACAACAUAUUAACUGAAUCCACUAAUAGUGACACUUGCAAGGUACAUCCCUUUUUCUCUCAGUGCAUUGCUAAAGAGCAGGCGUGUCGAAUACCCAUGGCAUAGGGAUACACAGUAGCUCAGGUGGAGUUGCUAGAAUGGGGGCAGCGUUCAAUUACCUGUGGCCAAGAGGCGCUGAGUUAGUUGCGCUAGCUCUGGCAAAACUGGCAACCUGAAACUGGGAGACUCUUCCUGGCGGCAUUGUUUCGGCGGCACGAGUCACCACCAGUCACCAGUCCAGUCCCGGAGCUUCUCCUCCUUGCGGGCAAUCAGUGCAAUCAAGUUGGGCCAGCAGGAAAUCGCUUUCAUACGCCCUUGAUUAUGAGCCAUGAGCUUGCACUUGGAGUUCCACUCGCCCGAUCAAUUUAGAUAACUGCUGGGAAUUCAAUUGUAUUUUCUAAACAAAAUGGUAGCAGGCUUCAAAUGCAACUGAUUGCGUUUAUGAAAUGCCAGCUUAAUAGCACUUUAAGAUCUCACUUCCAGUGUCCACAGACACAAUCAUUCAACCCACUCCAUAAUUACUGUGGAAAAUAAGACGGAAAGUCAGGCAAAGAAAGCGAUAGUGUCUUUAUUGGUAGAUUGUAAUUGAAACUUAUUUAAGGUAACACUUAAUAGUAGUUUUCCAGUGUGUACUUAAUUAGUAAAUGGCACCAAUGAUGACGAAAAAUUUUUAUAGAGAAUUUUAGUUGAAAUUUAGUUUAGCGAAUAACGUAAUCCCUUGUUAAGAAAUAUAUAUGUAUCUAUACAUACUGCCGGCUGUCCACUUGCAGUAUCUCCUGCCCCUGGACGAUUAGAUACUCUCCUCACGCACUUGAUUAGAUACACUCGCCUUGGGGUUUUGAUUAGAUAUAGUAGCUCUCUCCAUACACCAUAUAAAGUACUCAAAUACGACGACGCUUAGGACGUUUCUUCUUCCGAGUUUCUAGGCAACUGGAUGUGGCAAAAGAAACCUUACACGUCGGCCCUUUCCCACCGGUCUUUUGGGGAAUUUUAUGGGCUUAGGCUGAUUAGAUUUUCAGUAAACUGGCUAGAGACGGUAAAUUUAAAACCCCAUCCCCAGCCAGUCGACUUUUAUUGGUCAGCGUUGAUUAGUUUUCCAAUCAGUUACAAAUAAUUAGUAACGAAAUCUCUGUGGGCCAAACCCAGUUGUCAGCGCACACUAGAAGUAUCUUAUUCUACAAACGCACACCUGGCCAACACCAAUCAGAUGUCGGAGGUGAGAUAUGCGCAACCAUAUGAAAUUAAUUUCAACAUUUCAGCCGCUGGCCACUGACACAAUCGAUUGUCUAGCUUGGUUUGGCUAUGUGAGAGAGUUUCAAUCGAUCGUUAUUGUUUUUUUCUUUUUGUUUCGUUGAAGUAGGGGGUGUUGUUCUGGCUAGAUGGUGUGAACGUGACAUUAUCGUGCGGAGCCAUGUGGAUAUCAAGUGCUCUCGCCACUACUCUGAUUACCACUCGCGCCAUCGGCGGUUGUGGAGUGUUUUCCUAUCAGAACUGGACCCUCUAUUGGCCGAUUUAAAUUGUAGAUUGGCCAACACACAUACAUACACACACACAGUCUCCCGCUUGGCCGCAAUUAGUUGUUGGUUGUGAAAUUGUCACACGAUUGGUGACCGUGCAGUUUUUAUUUUAGGUUUUAGGUUUUUGACCAUUAGAAUGUUCUAUGGCAUUAUGAAAUAACCUCAUCUCCAUCGAAAUCAUAACAAAUUUAUGGGUGGGUAAAUGCUUUGUGACACAUUUACACUCAUUUGGGUUUUAAAAACAGCCAAUUCAUUGCUUACUACGAACUCUAAUCCGGAAUAAAUUACCGGGCAUUAAAUGCAGCGGAUCAACUAGUUAUGCAUUAUUCAAAGGGGCUUUGUUCGGGCGGGGUCUCGUAUCCCGUGGAUUUAAUUGAUUUAUGCAGUCUUUUAUUGAAAGAGUCAGAAUGGGUUUACGUUUACGACCCAACAAGAGCAGGAAAAGGCCAGCGAAGGAAGUUUACUGGCACUGGUACUUGGGAGCCCGAGCCGAAGGUGUGCACAUUUAAUUAGAGUCACUGCUAAGUUCAUUAACAGGUGUUAUAUUCGUUCUGGUUACGUUGGUCGUUCCGCCUUACGGGGAUCGUUUCGACCAGGCUAGACCGAGACUAACGCAUUUUUUCUGUUUUCCUGAUUAGAUUAACCCCUUGCCACCCCAUCGGCCUAGAAACGACAAGAAUUCGAGACUAUACCCACUGGGGCAAGAAACUGUAAAAUUUAAAGGCCCUGUAAACGCUUUUACGAUCCCUAUUCCUUCACCACACACAUACUAUAUACAGUACAUAUACAUAUGUACUGGCGUAUAUAUCAUCUAUCCGCUGUCGGUGGGUCGCUAUAUAAACAGAGUCUCUCUCGAAUGUGUGGGCUCAGCCACAUAUCGUAGCCAUAUAUUCGUAUAAAUAUAGGUAUGCCGGCAGUAACUCUGGACACUCUUGACAAUUAAGUCGCUUGUUUGCCAGGUGGCACUCGCUGGAAUUUGUAUUUGCUUUGUAUGUUAUUACAGACUCGUCUCAGCGGAUUGAUGUUGUCACGAAAAGCGGUAGAUAAAGACAGAUUCGAAAGCACCACGCACAAUCUCUGCUCGGGAUCAGCUUCCCUUCAGUGCUUAUCUAGUCUACGCAGCGUCUUAUCAAUAACUUUGAAUGCCAGAAACUGAGUGGAUGACGAUAGGAAUAUUAAACUAAAACGGGGUUAUAAUAGAUUUUAGGCAGAUAAGAAUGCCUAUCUGAUCGGGUGUCAGUUUGAAAAACGCCUAGUGGCACAUAUAUUAAGUGUAAUGAAAUAGUUACGACUUAAUAGCAGAAAUCGAAACUUAUACAACAUAUUUGGUAAACGUGCGCUAAUUAAGACUAUCAUUUUAAUCUAGACAAUAAUUGCCCUGCUUAGGUAAAUUAUACGCUCAACUUCCUGCUCUUUGCUAAAAAUCUUUCAGCUAUGUAAUGUCCAACAGGUGCGCUAAUUUCCCUGAAUAAAACUUGAAGUUCCGUCCAAUUAAUGCAAACGCAAGCACAUGUCCUCCUCGUAUAAAUCAUAUUAACUGAGCUGCGUUUUACCCGCUCACGUUUCGGCGAUUUAUAAGCAUUUAAUUGUUUGAUUACGGCCAGCUAGCUCUUGUCCGUGGUUUCAUAUUUCACAUUUCUCUAAUUUCAAAUCAUGAGCAUUUGGGGCGGGGCAAAAAAAAAAAAAAACGAGUAACGAAAGCAAAGCAAACCAAACGAACCGAAAUGAAACUCAAGCAACCUGCUGUCUUGGCUAGUUGACUAUAAUCGUAAAUUUGCGGCUAUAGAGUUAGUUGUUGGCGGGGGGACAUCAUAAAAGAAGACGAUUUUUGUCACUAAACGCUGCCGCUGCGAUUAAAUUAAGAAACCAGCAGAAAGCAGCAUCCGAAUCAUAAAAUAUAUUUUUUAUACGAUCUCUCAGUCUUUCUCUAUAUAGAGAAUACAGUAGUAUAUGUGGUAUAUAGUGGGUUUACCUGCAGACUCCGCCGGGCACCGGGAAGGGUAAAAUAAUGGGAAUUGGGAACGAUCUCGCCUCGGCUUUUAUAUCUUUUAUUUUUUUUUUUUUUACUUAUUCAACUGAUGUCAUCCCAAAACGCGUCGUUGUGCCGCUGCAAAAAAUAAGAAUUUAUGACCAAUUUUCAGCCGCUUGUCUCCGCAUUAUCCACUCUUUUUUUUCCUUUUUUUUUUGGCCAGCUCCUUGGCGCGACGCACAAUUGAAAAACUUGUUUUUCCUUCGACUUUUAUGAUUUGUUUGGAUUUUUACGCAUUUUUUCUUUUUUUUUGCUGCUGCUGUUGGUGGUACUGAAGGUUAAGGACACGGACGACAUCUUUACCUGACAGUAUUAGAGUUAUAAAAAGGAUCUAAUGCUGCCCGGUAAGAUGUGAACAGAUGUCCUUGCUAAUUAGCAAGAUUCGGUAUUCCAUGGCAUUCAACUGGUUAUUGCAACAUUAUUUGUACAUUAUAAUCUCCUUUGCCAGAGGAAGCUCAAAGUUCUCAAGGCGAAAGAACCUUGGAACAUUGGCCCCCUCUUGGCGAUAAGGAAUUCUUUGUGAGUUUAUUUGAGUGUUGCUUUCUUUUGUGAAUUUUGUUUGUCGCUUUGCUUUGCGCUUUUGUAAAUUUAAUCCCAUAACGAGUAUUGAUUUUUCUCUCUGUGUGUGCGCUGUGUGCUCAAGUGGGUUGGAAAUAAAACAAAAACAAAGCCAGGCUCCAUUAGUUUAUUGAAAUGUGCGUGUGACCGCGUGUGUGAGUGUGUGUGUGUGUGUGUGCGUUACCCAACAAACUUUAACUUUGAACCGGGGCGCGUGAUUUUCCGGGGGCAGUUGCAACGCCCACUUUGACGCAGGGAAAAUCGUAUAAAAAGUUGAACAUGUUAUUUAUAAUUAAAUUGAAGCUGGCGCCAUCCGAUAAAUGCAAUUAUUGUUGUUACGCGAGAUGCACACAACCACACACACACACACACUUUGGCACACUGUUUAUCGUGUGGCUGUUAUUAUUCUUGGUUUCUGUUUUCUAUAUUUUAUUUUACUAUUUUUUUCGGCCACCGGAAACAUGCACAAUAACGCCCGCACACACAUGCAACGGAAAGAGCGGCGCAGCGGAGAGCGCGAGCAAACCGUCACGAUCGAGCACCAAAAAAGAAUUGAAAGCUGCGGCGCCAACGAGCUCCGCCGACGGCUGCGCUGCCCGCGGCUAGAGGUGGCAGCGCGGCACGAUGUUUGCUGCGUGACACGAGCACGCUGCCCAAACCACGUGUGUUUGUGUAAGUCGUUUAUAUUCUAGAAGUUCAAAAGUCAUUGGUUUAGGAAAAUGGUUCCAGUUUGGAAGAACACAUUACACUUAUGCAAUUACUUAUGUCAUUAAUGUUAUCUGGGUCUGCUACCAAGUUAAAACAAUUAAAGCGACUAGCACUUCAGACUAAGCAUGUUUGCCGCACGCGACCAUCUCUAGCCGCGAUCUUGGCGUCGACAGCGCUGCUUCAAACAUGUUGCAACGCAGGCGAACCUUGUUCGUCGCUGCCGUUACGUUAACGUGUGAUUUGAUUUUUAACUGUGACGCAUUCCUUUGUCGUGUAUAUUGUAACGGUUUCACGGCUUCCUUUUUGGCGCUCUGUCGCUUCUCUGCCGCCACUAUUGCUUUUAUCAAUUAGGUGUACCCCCCUUUCGGCUAACCAUCCGAUUUAACUUUUACGUGCUUUCAUUGAUUAAUCAAAGUGAAAUUGAGCUGCGAAAAAGGGGGCUUGAGCAUCUCAAAAGAAAUAAAAGACUUAUUCAUGGUUAUGUUUGUACGAAUUAAAAUAGACAAUUUUUUACAAUAGUUAUUGCUCUAAAGGUAUAUAGAAUAUACCUUUAUAGAAUUUGAAUUUGUUAAUAAAAACGACUGGGUGACGGUGAAGAUUUACCAGGUUAACUUUGGAAUGAAGACUUGAAAUAUGUUCUCAUAAGAUCCCAACAUAGAAUUUUUAAGACGAUACUGUUUUGUUUAAGCGUGGCUCAAAAAAUCCAAAUUUUUUGAAAGUUUUCUGAAGAUAUUAGCUUUUCUUUGGUUAAGUCUAGCUGACACCUGUUACCUUUGCGUUUCCGUGGGCCCUUUUGUGAUUAUUAAAUCAUGACAUGAAGUUUAGCUUCCGUCCACGAUUACAGAAAUCUUUGUUCUUUUUUUGGCUGAGACUUUCAUUAGCACGUUGCUUUUAGCAUUGCCGUAUUCCAAUGAUAAUCAAUUGUGGAAAAUUUGCUUAAUUGCCUAUAAUUUUGGGCAUACAACAAAGCGCAGUGACACGUGUAAAAUUUCUGCAAGCCGGGCUUUAAUUCGCGCGUUUAUUUCGUGCCUCCUUUUUUCCCAGUGAACUGAAGUUGGGUGAAGAGUGAAUGAUCGGGAUCGGAUCCGCGUUCAUCGGUGCUGGGUGCUUGUGGUGCUGGAAAUGUGUGAAACACGCGUAAAGCCCGGUAGGUGUUAAAAAUAUCGUUUGGCUCCCGAUCGGCACACACACACACACACCCGUUACGAAUUAGAAUUCAUUAGAAGUUAUUUGGAAUUUCUCUUAACACUUGACCGAGUUUCGAACGGUUGCACUUGUCCGCUCAUCUUGACUUUUGAUUUCCUCAAGGGUUCUUUCUUUUCUCUUGGUUUAUUUACUGGU
rnacentral:sRNA from 1 species